rnacentral:tRNA from 1 species
UCCCUGAUAGCUCAGUUGGUAAAGAAUCCGCUUGCAGUGCGGGAGACCCCAGUUCAAUUCCUGGUUGGGGAA